CAAGUGCGGAAAAUGCAGCUAUGCUGAAUUAUCUAUCAAACUGCUUAUCAGUAAUGGAAUCGCGUUUCCCUAAUUGUGGCUUUAUUAUCCUUGGUGAUUUUAAUAAACUUAAUACCUCACGUCUAAGAACUGGCUAUGAUUUAAAACAGCUUGUCAAUUUUCCAACCCGCGGAAACAAUACCCUUGACAUUGUUUUAACAAAUCUUAACGCAUCCUUUGAUCAACCUACUAAGUGUGCCCCCUUUGGGUUACCAGACCAUAUGUCUAUUGAGGUGAGACCAGUCGAGCGUCGUAAUAUCCAAGAAAAGUCAAAACUUACGGUAAAAACGAGGGACUUGCGGCCUAGUUCCCGUCUUGCAAUGCGUAAAUAUCUUGAGCGUGUAGAUAUCCCAGAAAUGCUUAGCAGAGUUGAUUCUUGUGAUGAAAAAGCCUCGCUUCUUGAAACUAUUGCUAAAACUGGCUUAGAUUAUGUCCUCCCAUUACGAAGGAAAAAGAUUAAACCUAACGAUCCCCCCUGAAUGAACUCGACACUAAAGAGCCUUAUUAUAAAUCGUCAAUAAGCUCUCAACCAGGGAAAUAUCGAGGAGUUCAAACGUUUGAGGAACCAAGUCAAUCGCCAGAGGAAAAUCUGCCGAGCUAAAUAUUACAAAACCACUGUUCAACAUUUGAAACAAUGUAAGUCUAAUGCUUGGUGGAACGAGGUAAAAAAACUCAGCGGUACGAAAGUAGUUGAGGAAAACUCUCAUAAGAUUGUGAAAGCUUUAAGACCCAAUGAUAGUUC